rnacentral:lncRNA from 1 species
AUGACCACUACCACCACCAUUACCAUUACCACCACCACCACCACCACCACCACCACCACCACCAUUAUCAUCACCAUCACCACCACCACCAUCACCACCACCACCACCAUUAUCACCACCACCGCCACCACCACCAUUAUCACUACCACCACCACCACCAUCAUAAUCACCACCACCACCACCAUCACCAUUAUCACCACCACCACAUCACCACCACCAUCACCAUCAUUAUCAUCACCACCACCACCACAAUCACAUUAUCACCACCACCACCAUCACCAUUAUCACCACCACCAUUAUCACCAUCACCACCAGCACCAUUAUCACCACCACCAUCACCAUUAUCACCACCACCACCACCAUAAUCACCACCACCACCAUCAUUAUCACCACCACCACCACCAUCACCAUUAUCACCACCACCACCACCAUAAUCACCACCACCACCACCACCAUUAUCACCACCACCACCACCAUCACUAUCAUCACAACCACCACCACCAUCAUUAUCACCAUCACCACCACCACCACCACAAUUAUCUUCACCACCACCACUGCCACCAUCACCAUUAUCACCACUACCACCACCAUCACCAUCAUCACCACCACCACCAUUAUCACCACCACCACCACCACCAUUAUCACCACCACCACCACCAUCACCAUUAUCACCACCACCACCACCAUAAUCACCACCACCACCACCAUUAUCACCACCACCACCACCAUCACCAUCAUCACAACCACCACCUACCCCUUUAUUACCACCAUCACCAUCAUCACCACCACCACCACCACCAUCUUCACCACCACCACCCACCAUCACCAUUAUCACCACCACCACCACCUCACCAUCACCACCACUAUCACCACCACCACCAUCACCACCACCACCACCAUCAUCACCAUCACCACCACCACCACCACCACCACCACCAUUAUCACCACCACCACCACCAUUAUCACCACCAUCACCAGCAUCACCACCACCACCCAUUAUCACCACCAUCACCAUUAUCACCACCAUCCACAUCACACCACCAUCCACAUCAGCAUCACCAUCCAUCCACCAUCCAUACCACACCACAUCACCACCACCAUCAUCAUCCACCACCACCACCAUUAUCACCACCACCACCAUCAUCACCAUCAUCACCAUCACCACCGCCAUCACCAUGA